rnacentral:rRNA from 1 species
AGUGAACGCUGGCGGUAGGCCUAACACAUGCAAGUCGAACGGCAGCACAGUAAGAGCUUGCUCUUACGGGUGGCGAGUGGCGGACGGGUGAGGAAUACAUCGGAAUCUACUUUUUCGUGGGGGAUAACGUAGGGAAACUUACGCUAAUACCGCAUACGACCUACGGGUGAAAGCAGGGGAUCUUCGGACCUUGCGCGAUUGAAUGAGCCGAUGUCGGAUUAGCUAGUUGGCGGGGUAAGGGCCCACCAAGGCGACGAUCCGUAGCUGGUCUGAGAGGAUGAUCAGCCACACUGGAACUGAGACACGGUCCAGACUCCUACGGGAGGCAGCAGUGGGGAAUAUUGGACAAUGGGCGCAAGCCUGAUCCAGCCAUACCGCGUGGGUGAGGAAGGCCUUCGGGUUGUAAAGCCCUUUUGUUGGGAAAGAAAAGCAGCAGGUUAAUACCCCGCUGUUCUGACGGUACCCAAAGAAUAAGCACCGGCUAACUUCGU